AUGGUUCCCAACGACGCCGCGAGCCGCGGCGGCGAGAUCGUGGAGGUCGUCGUAGGCGAGCCGGCCUCGCCGUCGGCCGCAAUGCGGCUCAUGGACUUCAUCCCCAUCUACAUUCCCACCGUGGAGAAGGGAGCGCUGAGCAGGGGCGCGCGCAAGACGCGGUUCCUCGACUUCCUUCGCGCGCGCCCGUCCAAGGAGUGGUUCCUCCGGUCCACCUUCGUGGGGCGCCUCCGCCGCAGGAGCCAGGUCACGGCCGGGGAAGAUGAAGACGGCCCGGACUCCGACGGUAACGCCGGUGGGUGCCGGCCGCGGAGGAGGCGGCGGUUCCGCGUGCCGUUCGUGCGGAAGAUCAGGUGGGGCAAGCUGUGGACUCACGCGGUGAGCUGGUGCAGGCGGCCGGCCAACUUCGGGAUGAUCAUCUGGCUGGCGUUCGUCGCGGCGGGGCUGCUGCUGCUGUUCCUGCUCAUGACGGGGUUGCUCGACGACGCCAUCCCGGGGGACGAACGGCGCAAGAAGUGGUCGGAGGUGAUCAACCAGAUCCUCAACGCGCUCUUCACCAUCAUGUGCCUGUACCAGCACCCCAGGAUCUUCCACCACCUGGUGCUGCUCCUCCGGUGGCGCCCCGACGGCGACUGCGAGGCCAUCCGCAAGGUGUACUGCAAGGAGGGCGCGCCGGUGCCGCCGCGCGACCGCGCCCACAUGCUGGUGGUGGUGGCGCUGCUGCACAUCACCUGCCUGGCCCAGUACUUCUGCUGCGCUCUGUUCUGGAGCUACUCGCGCACCGACCGGCCCAACUGGGCUCUCAACAUCGGCUACGGCUUCGGCACGGGGCUCCCCGUCGUCGCCGCCCUCUACCUGGCCUACAGCCCGCUGGGCCGGAAGCAGGCACGCGACCCGGACGCGGGGCCGUCGUCGUCGGGCGAGGAGGCGAGCCGUCACGGCGGGGCUCCGGAGAACGACGGCCGCGGCGUGGCGAUCAGGAUAUACAACCGGUCCGUGGUGGUGAGCAGGCCGGAGUGGAGCGGCGGGCUGUGCGACUGCUGCGACGACGGGACGGUGUGCGCGCUGUCGGCGACCUGCACCUUCUGCGUCUUCGGGUGGAACAUGGAGCGCCUCGGGUUCGGCAACAUGUACGUGCACGCCUUCACCUUCAUCCUGCUCUGCGUCGCGCCCCUCCUCAUCUUCAGCGUCACGGCGCUCAACGUCCACGACGACGACAUCCGCGACGCCGUCGUGGCAGUGGGCGUGCUCCUCUGCUUCUGCGGCUUCCUCUACGGCGGCUACUGGCGGACGCAGAUGCGGAAGCGGUACAAGCUGCCGGCAGGAGGCGGCGGGCGGCGGGCCGCGGUGGGCGACUGCGCCAAGUGGUUCUUCUGCUGGAGCUGCGCGCUCGCGCAGGAGGUGCGGACGGCUAACUUCUACGACUUCGACGACGAUCGAUUCGUCGGCCACGGGGCGCGCAACGAGGAGGGCCGCGCCGUGCUGGUGCCGCUGCCGCGGGAGGCGGCCACGUCGACGCACUCCCGGAGCCUGUCGUGCCCGCCCAAGAUUGACGCCAUGGCAGCACUGGGCGGCGCCGGCACGGGCGCACUGGAUGAGCAGAUGGUCGACGUCGCGAUGGGGAGGUCGGCCACGUACAACGGCUAUGGCGAUGCCAUGAGGCCGCCUUUGCCGCCGCUGAUACAAAUGGACAGGGAAGAGUAG
rnacentral:rRNA from 1 species